AUUGAACGCUGGCGGCAGGCUUAACACAUGCAAGUCGAGCGGUAACAGAGAGACGCUUGCUUCUCUGCUGACGAGCGGCGGACGGGUGAGUAAUGUCUAGGAAUCUGCCCAGUAGUGGGGGAUAACUUGCCGAAAGGUAAGCUAAUACCGCAUACGUCCUACGGGAGAAAGGAGGGGACCUUCGGGCCUUUCGCUAUUAGAUGAGCCUAGGUCGGAUUAGUUAGUUGGUGAGGUAAUGGCUCACCAAGACCGCGAUCCGUAACUGGUCUGAGAGGAUGAUCAGUCACACUGGAACUGAGACACGGUCCAGACUCCUACGGGAGGCAGCAGUGGGGAAUAUUGGACAAUGGGGGGGAACCCUGAUCCAGCCAUGCCGCGUGUGUGAAGAAGGUCUUAGGAUUGUAAAGCACUUUAAGUUGGGAGGAAGAGCAGUUAACUAAUAUUUGACUGUUUUGACGUUACCGACAGAAUAAGCACCGGCUAACUUCGUG
rnacentral:rRNA from 1 species